CCUGUAGUGACGUUUGUUUGUGCAAGACAAAAACAGUGUGAACACACGUAAUGUAUGUUGUAUUUUUGGAAGAGAACUGGCUGAACUUGAAGAUUGGUCGAUUCAACCAACGCGUUCGGGUUGAAAGAACGCGAGUCCCCGUUGUGUAUUCGCUGAACGGAGAGAAAAAGGAGUUCGACACCAGCGGAUGGACGGAGCGAGUCGGGAACAAAACAAACAGUGCACUCUGCAUGACCACGCUCGACUGGCUGAAUCAUUCCCACACUAGCCGACUACUUCACACUCGCCGCGGGGCCAUUUGAUUGUGUACGGUUGGCGUAUCACAACAAUAACAUUAACGGAAUAUUCCUCGGGGAGAUUUUGAGCGUUACGUCACAAGCUAUCUGAGUUGAACGACUGAGUGGAGAAUGUGAAGCACAACCAUGGCCAACUUGGAAGCCUACCGGGAGUAUCAGAGGAUUGAGGACCUGGAGGAGGACUCUCCACCCGGGGAGGAGGACUUGCUGCUCCAUGUGCCUGAAGGCCUGAAAGAUUCAUGGCACCACAUCAAGAACUUGGAUAACUUCUUCACUCGAAUAUCCUGGUCUGUUUUUCUGUGACGUGUGCUAUUGCAUUGAGCCUUAUGGACGCAGAUUUACUAGUUAAGUCAGUGGAACCCCAAAGUGCAACAGAAUCAUUCUGUGAUGCCGGAUGGCUUAAGAUCUUCUAAAAAUAAAAAAAAUCAAUAAAGGAGACCUAACUGUCACCUUGAUAGAUAGAUCAAGUAU